rnacentral:rRNA from 1 species
CACGUAGGGCGCAAGCGUUGUCCGGAAUCAUUGGGCGUAAAGAGCUCGUAGGCGGCUCAGUAAGUCGGGUGUGAAACCCCCAGGCUCAACCUGGGGACGCCACCCGAUACUGCUGUGGCUAGAGUCCAGUAGAGGAGUGUGGAAUUCCCGGUGUAGCGGUGAAAUGCGCAGAUAUCGGGAGGAACACCAACGGCGAAGGCAGCACUCUGGGCUGGAACUGACGCUGAGGAGCGAAAGCGUGGGUAGCAAACAGG